rnacentral:rRNA from 1 species
AGUGAACGCUGGCGGUAGGCCUAACACAUGCAAGUCGAACGGCAGCACAGUAAGAGCUUGCUCUUACGGGUGGCGAGUGGCGGACGGGUGAGGAAUACAUCGGAAUCUACUUUUUCGUGGGGGAUAACGUAGGGAAACUUACGUUAAUACCGCAUACGACCUACGGGUGAAAGCAGGGGAUCUUCGGACCUUGCGCGAUUGAAUGAGCCGAUGUCGGAUUAGCUAGUUGGCGGGGUAAAGGCCCACCAAGGCGACGAUCCGUAGCUGGUCUGAGAGGAUGAUCAGCCACACUGGAACUGAGACACGGUCCAGACUCCUACGGGAGGCAGCAGUGGGGAAUAUUGGACAAGGGGCGCAAGCCUGAUCCAGCCAUACCGCGUGGGUGAAGAAGGCCUUCGGGUUGUAAAGCCCUUUUGUUGGGAAAGAAAAGCAGCAGGUUAAUACCCCGCUGUUCUGACGGUACCAAAAGAAUAAGCACCGGCUAACUUCG